rnacentral:rRNA from 1 species
UAGGGAAUUUUUCACAAUGGGCGCAAGCCUGAUGGAGCGACGCCGCGUGCAGGAGGAAGGCCUUCGGGUUGUAAACUGCUUUUAUUGGUGACGAUUAUGACGGUAACCAAUGAAUAAGGACCUGCUAACUACGUGCCAGCAGCCGCGGUCAUACGUAGGGUCCAAGCGUUAUCCGGAAUUACUGGGCGUAAAGAGUUGCGUAGGCGGUUUGCCAAGUCUUCAUUUAAAUACCAAGGCUCAACCUUGGAACUGAUGAGGAAACUGGCAGACUAGAGCAUGGAAGAGGUAGCUGGAAUUCCUAGUGUAGGAGUGAAAUCUGUAGAUAUUAGGAGGAACACCGAUGGCGUAGGCAGGCUACUGGUCCAUUGCUGACGCUCAGGCACGAAAGCGUGGGGAGCGAACGGG